rnacentral:hammerhead_ribozyme from 1 species
AUCCAGCUGUUGAGUCCCAAAUACGACGAAACGCACGUCAUGGGU